CAAGUACUAACCAGGCCGGACCCUGCUUAGCUUUGAGAUCAGACAAGAUUGGGUGCAUUCAGGGUGGUAUGGCUGUAGACAAUAAACACAGCAGUUUCUGAGGAAU